UACGUAGGGUGCAAGCGUUGUCCGGAAUUAUUGGGCGUAAAGAGCUCGUAGGCGGUUUGUCGCGUCGAAUGUGAAAACCCGGGGCUCAACCCCCGGGCCUGCAUUCGAUACGGGCAGACUAGAGUUCGGUAGGGGGAGUCUGGAAUUCCUGGUGUAGCGGUGAAAAUGCGCAGAUAUCAGGAGGAACACCGGUGGCGAAGGCGGGGAACUCCUGGGGGCCCGAAUACUGACGUGAGGAGCGAAAAGCGUGGGGGGAGCAAAACAGG
rnacentral:rRNA from 1 species